ACACGUAGGAGGUGAAUAUAGUCAGGAUAGUUAAAGGCCUCAGUCCAACCUGCUGCCCAAGGAGUCUGUUUUAUCAUCCUGGAUUAAUGGUUGCCCAAUUUUUCCUUGAAAACCUCCAAUUAAUGGAGCCCCCAGUAAGAAUAAGCCUUAUUAUGACUGUUAAGAGAAUAAUGCACCAGUCAAAUUUAAUCCUCUUUUCCUUUUUCAAUCCCCAGAGAAAGGGCCUUGAGGAUGUCACUGGAGCAGCCGUCUCUCUCUGGCUACAACAGCCGGUCAGAUGCUGUCGAGGUGGCCCCCAUCCCUGCGGCAACCUCUCAAUCCCAACAUCACCAUCACGGAUGACAGAAGAAGGAUGUCAGAUGUUCUUCCUUGAUCUAUAAUGUGAGGGUUGUCCAACAGCACCGAAGCCAAAUCCGGAAAAAAGGGAAGAAACUGCUGGGUCAGGUCCUGUCCACAUUACGGCAUUGAAGAAGAGAAAGAGGAUGACUUAGACCAGGCAACAUUCACCAUUUGCAAAGAGCAAAGAGCUGAUGAAGCCAGUUAAGAACCCUGAAGCAUCUGGAUAAGCCAGAAGAAGCCAUUACAGAGGAAGAGCAGCUGGAGGAAACCCGGAGUUGCCUGCUCAAGAUAGGAGACCACAUUGCUGGAUGUAUGAAAACCCACACUGAACAGGAAGUUCUUGAAGUACGGAGAAGCUGAUUUGCCUGCCCACCAGUUCUUCAAUCUUUCUCGCUCUCUGACUGGGUCAUGCCAUGCUUAGAUCAAAAUCUGCAGACUUUAUCUUGCGAGUCUUCAUGACUCAAGUUUGAAUCAAGACAGAAUAUGGUCUUCUCCAGAAUAUGAUGAGGAUCCAGAGAAGAGAAGAAAGGGGGAUUCGAAUACUUCUCUUACUCAUCCCCAUGCCCCUUAUUUGUAGAUUUGUGCCCUGUUUACUGAGGUGUUCCUUGUUUAAUCAUAUGAAAAGAAAGCUUGCUCUUUUUAACAAGCGGGAAUUGUUGGAAGGUGAGAAAAUGGGGGGAGGAGGGAGCAACUGAUUGGAGGCGGAGCGGAGCAUGGCAUGUCCUCUGUGGGUGAGAGGUUGAAGGGGCGACUGCAGGGGAGGGCUGCGUGCUCUGGCUCCACUCCAAAGAGGGGCAAGGGU